AACGAACGCUGGCGGCAUGCCUAACACAUGCAAGUCGAACGGGAUCCUAGCUUGCUAGGUGAGAGUGGCGGACGGGUGAGUAACACGUGGGAAUCUGCCUUUUGGUUCGGGAUAACCGCGGGAAACUGCGGCUAAUACCGAAUGCCCUCGAGAGAGGAAAGAUUUAUCGCCAGAAGAGGAGCCCGCGUCCGAUUAGGUAGUUGGUGGGGUAAAAGGCCUACCAAGCCGACGAUCGGUAGCUGGUCUGAGAGGAUGAUCAGCCACACUGGGACUGAGAUACGGCCCAGACUCCUACGGGAGGCAGCAGUGGGGAAUAUUGGACAAUGGGGGCAACCCUGAUCCAGCAAUGCCGCGUGAGUGAUGAAGGCCUUAGGGUUGUAAAGCUCUUUGCCAGGGAAGAUGAUGACUGUACCUGGAGAAUAAGCCCGGCUAACUUCGUGCCAGCAGCCACGGUAAU
rnacentral:rRNA from 1 species